GAUCCCUAGCUGGUCUGAGAGGAUGAUCAGCCACACUGGAACUGAGACACGGUCCAGACUCCUACGGGAGGCAGCAGUGGGGAAUAUUGCACAAUGGGCGCAAGCCUGAUGCAGCCAUGCCGCGUGUGUGAAGAAGGCCUUCGGGUUGUAAAGCACUUUCAGUCGUGAGGAAGGUGGUGUAGUUAAUAGCUGCAUCAUUUGACGUUAGCGACAGAAGAAGCACCGGCUAACUCCGUGCCAGCAGCCGCGGUAAUACGGAGGGUGCGAGCGUUAAUCGGAAUUACUGGGCGUAAAGCGCAUGCAGGUGGUUUGUUAAGUCAGAUG
rnacentral:rRNA from 1 species